rnacentral:tRNA from 2 species
GGGCCUGUAGUUCAACGGAUAGAACGGUGGUUUCCGGAACCACAGAUCGGGGUUCGAUUCCCUGCGGGCCUA